GAUGCUCUUCAGAGGGGCGAUGUGGCAAUUGCAUGAUGUAAAUCACAGACUGAGUCACAGCAAUGAUUUCACCGGUCACAGGGUUCCCAGUCUGUCACACAGCUAGCAAUUGAGAAAUUGCCUACGUCCCAAAUCAGUGAUCAAGGUCACAUGAAGGCAAAGUGAUUCCAAAUAGCUCACUGUCAAAACCAGAACUCACAUCAGGUCAACACACAGCACUCAAACCACACACGGAAACUGCACCACCAUCCCUCUGUGUAUCACCCUCAGUGUAUGACUCCCUCUAUAUCACUCCCUCAAUGUGGAACAGCCCCCUAUUUGAUUCUGUCUGUACCUUCUUGAAUUGUUGCUGUGGAGAUGCUCUUUGGAAAUACAGAAUCAUCCAUUUGGCUCUGGAGAAAGAAGACAGAAUUUCUUAUUAUUUCCACAUGUUAUCACUGAUGUGAUUAUUUGCCCCAGUGAAACUGCCCCUUCAUCUCCUUCUCCUUCUGUCCUGUAAAGACACCACACAGGUGACUUUUCUGCUUCCUGUCAGUCUUCACUGUGAUGGUGCCAGAGUUUCCUCCGUACUCUCUGGGCCCCACAAACAGUGUCACUGAAAUUCCACUCCCAAAGGAAAAACAGGAACCCCUGCUCAAAUUCCCUGAUAACUCAUCACCCCUUCCCCACCAAUCCCCUCACUGGAUUUGAACCGAUUCCCUGUUCCACAAACUUACAAUGCUUAUGAGCUGAGUGUCAUCUUUAGUCUCUGUGUCGUUACUCUCUGCCGAGAAUUGAGCUGCAUCCCUGUGGAAAGAGAAAAUAGCUCAUUAGGAACGUUAUAAUGUCCUCUGAUAAACUGCACCAGUUCCUCACACAGUUAAACAAAAGUGUUUCAGUGAUGUGUGAAACUGUGAACAUCAGUCUAUCACCAGAGAAGGUGCAGAGGAGAUUUACAGGGAUGUUGCCAGUUUUGGGGAAAGACUGAAUAGGCUGGACGUUCCCCAUGGAACAUAGGAGGAUGAGGAGGGGUACAAAAUUUGAUUACGAUAUACAAGGUUGUGAGCGACCUGGAUGGACUGGAUGGGACAGACUUAUUUAACAGAGGUGACAGUGGCUAUGGGGCAUUGGUUAUUAAAUUAAAGUGAUCAGUCAAGGAAUCAGAGACGAGAUGAGGAAACAGUUUUCACCCAGAGGGUGAGAGAGAUCAGGAACUCAUCACCUGACAGAGCAUUGAAGGCAGAAACUGUUGAUUCAUUUCCAAAAUGCCUGGAAAUGUACCUCAAGUGCCAUAAGCUGCAGGGCCACAGACCAGAUGCUGGAAGCUGGGGUUUGGCUGGGUGGCUUCCUUUUCAGCCAGAAUAGACAGGAUUGGCAGAGUGGCCAACGUCUGUGUCUUGCCAUUUCUAUGAUUCUGUUCUAGGAUUCCUGUUGGCGCUGAUGUUAGUUAGUCUUUAGCAAGGCCUGUAAAAACAACAGAGGAGGCCAGGCUCUUACUCCAGGGUCAGCUGUCCCAGUGAAUUUCCUGAAAGAGUUUCCCUGCCCCUUUCCUGUUAGGCUUGGCUUAGCACUUAGAUGCAGUUCAAACUGUAUUGUAGCCCCAUUCACUGACGAUGCUGAGGAUGGGUGUGAAAGCAAGUUGAGAGGAGGAGCUAAGUUAUGAUGGGCUAAGAAAGUGGGCAAAAGUGUAGCAGAUGGAGUAUAAUGUGGGAAAAUGUAAACUUUUCCACUUCGGCAGGAGGAAUGGAAAAUCAGAAUAUUAUUUAAAUGGAGAGAGUCUGUAGAACUCUGAUGUACAGAGGGUUCUGGGUGUCAAGGUACAUGAAUCACAAGAUGUUAACACUCAGAUUUACCUUGUGACUAGGAAAACAAUGAGAAUAUUGGCCUGCCUUGCAAGAGGGAUGGAAUAUAGAGGUAGGGAAGUCCUGCUACAACAGGGGAUUGAUGAAAACAAAUUGGGUCCAGAGUUUUGGUCUCAUUCCUUGAGGAGGGACAGUCUGGCAUUGGAGGUAGUUCAGGGAAGGUUCACUUGAUUGAUCCUGAAUAAUGAGGGACAUUGUUCUGAGGAGAUAUUAAGCAGGUUGGGCCUGCACUCAUUAGAGUUUAGAAGAAUUGGACAUGAUCUUAUUGACAGGAUAGGAACCAUCAGAACGAUCCUGGGUAAAAAGUGUCAGUAAAUGGAGUGGGGGGAGAUUGCUUCGACUAGGGUUAGUAUCUUCCUGAGUUAUAGACAAUGAGGUGGGGGUUUAAUGGAGGUGGUUUUGAUGGUUAAAGACCCUGAUGUGAUCAAAGGUGAGUUGCUCAUUUCUCUCAGUCCAGGAUAAGGGAGCAGCAUCUCACAAUUUGAGCGCGUCAUUUCAGGCCGAUGUUGGGAAGGGAGUUUUCACACAAACACUUGUGGAAACUUGGAAUGGUCACCUCGAUAAGCCCGCUGACCUUCACCUGGACACUUUCAAGGUUUAAACUGAGCUCUGACUGCGUAGAACAAGGAGACACCUCUCCCCAUCUUAUUCCCCAGUCUCUAGCUGUUCAGUUAUUUGAGAUCCAAUCAUAUGGCCGUUGGCAGGUAAAAGGCUUCUGUCAGCAGGACCUUGUCGCUUGUACACAGCGGAUGUUUUAUCGAGAGCAAACAUGGAAGAAAAGCAAUGUUGUGGUCAAAAUGGACGUGUGUUGUUCUGAAAAUCAUUGUGUGUUUUGUGUAAAUAUGUUAUUACUGUCAAAGUAAAAUAAAAAGUAAUGAGAAGACA